UACGGGGGGGGCAAGCGUUGUUCGGAAUUACUGGGCGUAAAGGGCUCGUAGGUGGCCAACUAAGUCAGACGUGAAAUCCCUCGGCUUAACCGGGGAACUGCGUCUGAUACUGGAUGGCUUGAGUUCGGGAGAGGGAUGCGGAAUUCCAGGUGUAGCGGUGAAAUGCGUAGAUAUCUGGAGGAACACCGGUGGCCGAAGGCGGCAUCUGGACCGACACUGACACUGAGGAGCGAAAGCCAGGGGAGCAAACGGG
rnacentral:rRNA from 1 species